rnacentral:ncRNA from 1 species
AAUGAUGCGGCGCAUAGUUGAUAAAGGCAAAGCCACGCGCCUGGUCGAUGCAGUGAAACAGCGGGUUCCAGUCGAACAUCGCCAGCAUGUAGCCGGGCAGCGUGUUGGCCACGAACAUCUUGCCCGAGGCGAUCAUGUUGGCACGCUG